rnacentral:rRNA from 1 species
UACGUAGGUGGCAAGCGUUGUCCGGAUUUACUGGGCGUAAAGGGCUUGUAGGCGGUUUGUUAAGUCUGGUGUGAAAUCUCCCGGCUCAACCGGGAGGGGUCAUCGGAUACUGGCAGACUAGAGACGGGUAGAGGAAAGCAGAAUUCCCGGUGUAGCGGUGAAAUGCGUAGAUAUCGGGAGGAAUACCAGUGGCGAAGGCGGCUUUCUGGGCCUGUUCUGACGCUGAGGAGCGAAAGCGUGGG